GGAGGGGUUCAAUCGCCAACAUCUAGAUGCGGCGGAGGAGAUCGCCGGCACGCUCCCGCUCGCCCUCCCGUGGCUUCGCCCCCUGAUCGGCCUGUACCUCCACCCAGUAUUGCGUCGUCUUCGUGGGGACGAGGCGGCGCUGGUCAGCGACAACGACGGCGACUACAGUCCUCGCUCCACAGCCUCCCUCUCUGCACCGCGUCGCCGCUUCUCACAGGUAUCUGUUUCUGCUGCAUUUGAAGGACAACUUUAGGACUGCAAUGGCGCUUCAAUAUAACCAAAGAUUUAGAUAAAACAGGCUAGUCUCCCCGAGAACAAGGAAUUGCUAGAAUCCCUUAACUCGGAACAAAAAGACAGUGGAUGUUACGUUUAUGAAGAAUGGUCCUUUUAUUUUCUUGCAAGGAAACAAGUUUAAGCACUUAAAAAGGCUGGAAGGGAAUCUGAAAUGGAUCACCACUUUGGCUUUUCAGAUGGUGAUGGAAUAAGGGAAAAACACAGUGGCGAAGAGAGUCAAGUACAGUUUAUUUGAUGAUCAUCAAGGAGGAAGAGAUUAAUAUUUCUUAUUUGUAGGAGGAAGAGAUUUUAAAAAGGACACCAUGACAAGCAGCAGGCAAGCAGCUUAUUGAAGCAUGUAACUGGCACCGCAAGUUUGCAAGGCUAUGCGGAUAGCUUGUUGGAUGCGACAGCCAGACAUUUUGGUUCAGCACUGUCUGCUCAGCCUGAAGAAAAUGGGUACUCAGUCCUUUCCUCUUGUCUGGAACCGGAAUAAUUGGGCUCAAGGGCCAUGUCACCACUGUCUAUUUCUGAUCUACAAGGUGAUUCUUCCUGGUUCAAGGGCCACGGCAUGCUGGCGCCUUUUACAGCUGGCUGGCAGAGCCAUGAUUUGCACCCUCUGAUCAUUGAGAGAUCUGAGGGUUCCUAUGUCUAUGACAUUAAUGGGAACAAGUAUCUGGACUCUCUUGCAAGAUUAUGGUGCACAACUUUAGGUAUGUGCACGCGACUUUUGUGUUUGUUUCUGGGCU